AGAUAUAGAGUGAUUUAAGCCUAUCCACGUAAGCAAAUAUAUUCCCCCAAUCAAAUCAUUUGAUUAAUACACGUAGGAUACCGGAGGCGUUUGUUUUUGGUUUACUGGAUUCGUCUUUAUCGGUUUAAUAAUAAAAACCCACACCCGAGACGGAUAUAGCGACUGUGAACUGGGCUUCGAUUACGAUUGUGAACUGGGCUUUAUUGGUUAAUACAAGGUGGAUCUCAUAUGCAUUUUUAAUAAUUAUAGAUCUCAUAUGCAUUUUUAAUAAUUAUACGAAUACCUAUAGGUAAGUAUUGAUUUUGCAUGUACCUAGAACAUAGUCUGACGCAUAUAUAAUGGACGAAUUUCACUUAAAUUCUAUAUAACAAAAUAAUUAUAAGGCACCAAAUAUUUAGAACAUGGUUUACUGGGCUUGGUCUCUUAUAGGAUAGAUAUUAAAAAAAAAACAACACGAGACGGAAACCCCGAUGCUUUGCGCCUCCAUCUCUUCGUCUUCUCCCUUUGCUCUUCAUCGUAACAGAUCUCUCGAUCCACAUCUCUACAAUCAGUACCCCACGACAUCUCGAUCCAUCAAUUCUUCUUGAUGAGUUCCUUUCCGUUUGCUCUUCUCCUCCUCCUUUAUAUACUGUUAUUCUCUUUCGAGUGGAAACCAAACCUCGAACUUUGGGAGCAAGCCGCUUUGGUUUUCAAAUCCACCAAUUCGGAACAUGUGAUCAAGCCAACCUUUCUAGGCGUCCAUAUGAUUAUUAACAGAAAAUGUGAGAGCUGGAAUAUAAACUUAGUAGUCAUGGAAAGCCGCCACCAUCUGAAACUGGGGUAAAAUUGUGUAUUUUUUUAUCUUUAAUUUUUAUUUUUAGAUAUUAAGAUUUGAUUACUGUUAAAAAAAGGGUUUGAUUACUGUUAUGGUGCAGGGAAAGUUAUUACUUUUCGAUCAAAUAUUCAAGAAGUGUGUUGAUGGAGUGUUCAUGCGACCUUGAUGGAUCUGGUUCACAAGUCUGUGAAUGAGACGUGUUAUAGACGGCUUGAACAUGUGUAAGGAUUGAACCAAUACCAAACUCUGAGUGCGGCGAUGAAAAAUACAGCCAUAGAGUCAGUGAACAAGAAGUGGGAGGGAAGUAAGAACGCAACACUGCAGCUGGUGGACAUGGAGUGCAGUUACAUCACUGUUGAUUUCUUCAGGAAGCUCUCCACAGCUCUGAGAAUACCGAGUGUUUUGCUCCAUUGUGGUCGGUGUGAUUCAGUCCAGAGAAUAUUGCUGAUGCUUAGCUAAGCUUCCACAAACCAUGGACAGGAAGAGGAGAAGCGUUUUUUGAGGGAGCUAUUGAGGCAGAGAGGAAGCGCAAGAGAAGAAGAAGAAGAAAAGGUACAAGAGAGAGAAAAGUGAGAAGCUGGAGAGAGAAAACCUGCUAGAGUAAGAGUGAGAUAAGAAAAGGAAUUUGCUGUUGGAAACGGAACUUGGGAAUGGACCGGCUGCUACACAAAGAUUUCUGAAUCAAUGGACGUGAAUUGCCGUAUUAAUACAUAGAAGAAACGAUUUCAAGAGGUAUGGCCGAAAAUGUCUGCUUUCUCUGGUUAGAGUAAGACAACAUGGGAUAUACUUGGCGUGAAGCUUUCAUGGAGACAAUUGAGACGGACGAUGGUUGUUCUUUCUUAUACUUGGAUCUCUGAAGAAAGAAGAACCAUCCUUUUUAUUUAAUCACAACUACUUAUCAAAUAUGUGAAAGCGGUGGGAAAAUGGGUUCGGUGGUUAUGGCUGAGGGAUACUUUGUUUUGUUAUGGUUAUGGAACUAUGCGGGUUUCUAUUUAACCACCGGACUGACGCUGUGUUUGUUGAGUUAAGGGCAAGAGAGUCUGUUUUUGUAGUAUCUUCUGUUCGAGGUUUAGACUCUUGCAGGAAUGGUGAUCUCACCAAACUCGAGAGGUAUCACAAUCGGAGACCUUGGUUCUAUCGUGAUAUUAAUAAUUUUGGGCUUGGUAGUUCUUCCA